UGGGGAAUUUUGGACAAUGGGCGAAAGCCUGAUCCAGCAAUGCCGCGUGUGUGAAGAAGGCCUUCGGGUUGUAAAGCACUUUUGUCCGGAAAGAAAUCCUUGGCUCUAAUACAGUCGGGGGAUGACGGUACCGGAAGAAUAAGCACCGGCUAACUACGUGCCAGCAGCCGCGGUAAUACGUAGGGUGCAAGCGUUAAUCGGAAUUACUGGGCGUAAAGCGUGCGCAGGCGGUUUGCUAAGACCGAUGUGAAAUCCCCGGGCUCAACCUGGGAACUGCAUUGGUGACUGGCAGGCUAGAGUAUGGCAGAGGGGGGUAGAAUUCCACGUGUAGCAGUGAAAUGCGUAGAGAUGUGGAGGAAUACCGAUGGCGAAGGCAGCCCCCUGGGCCAAUACUGACGCUCAUGCACGAAAGCGUGGGGAGCAAACAGGAUUAGAUACCCUGGUAGUCCACGCCCUAAACGAUGUCAACUAGUUGUUGGGGAUUCAUUUCCUUAGUAACGUAGCUAACGCGUGAAGUUGACCGCCUGGGAGGUACGGUCGCAAGAUUAAAACUUAAAUGAAUUGACGGGGUCAUAGCUGUUUCCU
rnacentral:rRNA from 1 species